CCUACGGGAGGCAGCAGUGGGGAAUAUUGCACAAUGGGGGAAACCCUGAUGCAGCGACGCCGCGUGAGUGAAGAAGUAAUUCGUGAUGUAAAGCUCUAUCAGCCGGGAAGAAAAGGAGGGUACGUGAGUAAGAAGCCCCGGCUAACUACGUGCCAGCAGCGGCGGGAUUACGUAGGGGGCAAGCGGUAACCGGAUUUAUUGGGGGGAAAGGGAGCGUAAGCGGGAGUGCAAGGCUGGAGGGAAAGGCGGGGGCUCAACCCCCGGACUGCUCUGGAAACUGGACGGCUGGAGUGCAGGAGAGGUAAGUGGAAUUCGUGGUGUAGCGGUGAAAUGCGUAGAUAUUAGGAGGAACACCAGUGGCGAAGGCGGCAUACUGGAGCGUAACUGACGUUGAGGCUCGAAAGCGUGGGGAGCGAACAGGAUUAGAUACCCCUGUAGUC
rnacentral:rRNA from 1 species